GACAGGCUCAGUAAAGAUGAUCAUCUAUGAAAACUGUUCUGGAGGUGGUUUAUGCAGAGGACAAAGGAUGGCCUCUCACUCUGGGAUGAUAUGAAUCUAAAAGUUAAGGUUAAUCAUGAAGGUCGGGUAUUCCAGGUUUGGUAUUUUAUCUGACCAGUAUGAGUAUUUUUGUGGACAACACCAGGUAAAGUCCUUAAGAUGACUCUCAAAUGGUCUAAGAUGGGUCAUGUGGCAGUUCCAUAAAAACCACCAUGGUGUUGUGUGGCUAGACCUGGAUCAUGCACUCAAGCCUGAAGUUUUAGAUGGGAGCCCAAGGUGGGCAGAUAUAUCCCACCCAAAAUAGAUGAGGUUCUGUUAUCAGAAAAAGGAUGAAUAGAUACUGGUUGGUGAAAAUAUCAGAUGUUUGCUAUCACUUUACAACCAGCACAUAGUACAAGUCUAGUACAUUAGAGCUGCCAUUGUGAUUGUUUUUGUUGUUAGUGUUAUAAUACUAUUAAUUGAAUCUGAGAUGUUUAAAAUAUGUUGUGUGUCCACUUUUGCUUCAUUUGUCCUGGCUUCUCCAAGAUUUGUCUGCAGUUGGCUUUAAAGCCCCAGGUUCCAAAUCAGUCAUUCUUGAGACAGGAGUAUUUUGAUGCACAAUGAACACUAAGGAAAGAGAUUUUCUGCUAGAUGGGCCCAGGGAUUAAUUCUGAAUAUGCCAUGUACAAGCUUGAACAUGUUAUUAAAUCUCAUUUAUCCUUUGCUUUCCCAUCUAGAAGAUGGAAUAAUAAUAACAAUCAUACAAGGUGGUUGUAAGUAGUAAUAAUACAUGGCAAAUUCUCAAAACAGUGUCUGGAUAUGAGGUAAAAUAUGCCCUUAAAGCAUGUAGCCUAAUUCCUGGUACAUAACCAGUUCUUAAUAAAUAGUGGCAAACAUUGUGGCUAGCAUUUCAUAACUUGCAGUUCUCACUAUUCUUAUUGGAAGUUUAUAUCAUGACCUGGUAGGAAUCAGUGCUUUAAAACAGAUCACUAGGCUACUUAUAUUGCUUCACGAAUGUUCUGACAACCAAUCAUAUGAAUAAAAGUUCCACUAGGUGGCUGCAUGGUGGCUUUUCAAAGCCUCUUGCCUGACCUGUGUUCACCUAGGCUUAUGAGACAACUUCUAUCUUGGCAUCCAUGCUCCGAUUUGAACAAAUUUCCUUAUCAUUGUACUUAUUCCUUGUACUAUAGUGGCUUUUCUCUUUCACCAGACUGAAAUCUUCACAAGGCAGGGUGGUGAUAUCCCUCUGCCCCUAGCAUAAUGUCUGACAAAUAGUAAGCUUGUUAAUGACAUCUGCUGAAUGAAUGAUUGAAUGUUUCAACCAAUGAAUUAAUAAAUUAUUCUUCAGUGAAGAUUUCCUGCUGUUGCUGCCACACAAGUUUUUGGUCUCCUACAGCCAGUGAUUUGGAGACCCCCUUUGGGCAUUCUGUGUCCUGCUAGCUGUGGCCCUUGCCUCUUAUCUGGGGACUGAGCUUGGGUUGGGUUCAUCAUCUUCCUCUGUGGAUGAAGAAGCUUUUUGCUUCACGUGAGAUUAUAGCAAUACGUGCAUGCCUGUUGUGUACGGGUUUUAUUUAUUUUAGAAACCACUUUGGAAAAAACCUUUCCCACUGUAAUUUUAAAUACCACAGGAAUUUGUCACUGUGCCAAAAAUGUUAAACAUAAUUAGAGCAGCUCUUACGUGUUUAGUAUUAUGCCAAGAACAUUUUUU
rnacentral:lncRNA from 10 species